GACGUAGGGGGCGAGCGUUGUCCGGAAUUACUGGGCGUAAAGAGCACGUAGGCGGGAAUUUAAGUCAGAUGUGAAAGACCGGGGCUCAACUCCGGGGUGGCAUUUGAAACUGAAUUUCUUGAGGGCAGGAGAGGAAAGCAGAAUUCCUGGUGUAGCGGUGAAAUGCGUAGAAAUCAGGAGGAAUACCAGUGGCGAAGGCGGCUUUCUGGACUGACCCUGACGCUGAGGUGCGAAAGCGUGGGUAGCAAACAGGAUUAGAUACCCUGGUAGUCCACGCCGUAAACGAUGGAUACUAGGUGUGGGAGGUAUCGACCCCUUCCGUGCCGCAGCUAACGCAAUAAGUAUCCCGCCUGGGGAGUACGAUCGCAAGGUUGAA
rnacentral:rRNA from 1 species